CUCCAGACUCCUACGGGAGGCAGCAGUGGGGGAUAUUGCACAAUGGGGGGAACCCUGAUGCAGCGACGCCGCGUGGGUGAAGGAGUGCUUCGGCAUGUAAAGACCUCUCGGCAGGGAAGAAGCAAGACGGUACCUGACUAAGAAGCCCCGGCUAACUACGUGCCAGCAGCCGCGGUAAUACGUAGAGGGCGAGCGUUAUCCGGAUUCACUGGGUGUAAAGGGAGCGUAGACGGCCAAGCAAGCCAGGGGUGAAAGCCCGGGGCCCAACCCCGGGACUGCCCUUGGAACUGCACGGCUGGAGUGCGGGAGGGGCAGGCGGAAUUCCUGGUGUAGCGGUGAAAUGCGUAGAUAUCAGGAGGAACACCGGUGACGAAGGCGGCCUGCUGGACUGCAACUGACGUUGAGGCCCGAAAGCGUGGGGAGCAAACAGGAUUAGAUACCCUAGUA
rnacentral:rRNA from 1 species